AGCAGCCGCGGUAAUUCCAGCUCCAAUAGCGUAUAUUAAAGUUGUUGCAGUUAAAAAGCUCGUAGUUGAAUUUCGGGAUCAAAUUGUCGGUCGUGCCUCGGUACGCACUGGUAUUAUUGGUUCCUACCUUCUGAAGAACCGCGAUGUCAUUAAUUUGGUGUCGUGGGGAAUCAGGACUGUUACUUUGAAAAAAUUAGAGUGUUUAAAGCAGGCUUACGCUUGAAUACAUUAGCAUGGAAUAAUGAAAUAGGACGUUUGAUUCUAUUUUGUUGGUUUCUAGGAUUGACGUAAUGAUUAAUAGGGAUAGUUGGGGGCAUUAGUAUUCAAUUGUCAGAGGUGAAAUUCUUGGAUUUAUUGAAGACUAACUACUGCGAAAGCAUUUGCCAAGGAUGUUUUCAUUAAUCAAGAACGAAAGUUAGGGGAUCGAAGACGAUCAGAUACCGUCGUAGUCUUAACCAUAAACUAUGCCGACUAGGGAUCGGAUGAUGUUAAUUUUUUAAUGACUCAUUUGGCGCCUUAC
rnacentral:rRNA from 1 species